rnacentral:lncRNA from 1 species
UAAGACUCAACCCUAGGCUCUGAUACCAAAUUAAUCUGUCACGCCCCGGGACCGGCGGAGGCCCUCCCGGUAGCGUGCCCAGACCCGCCAUAUGUCUACACAUAUAAGGCGUCUACAAUAAAAGCGGAAGUAAAAGCAAGUAAUAGAACAAAUAGAAGAAGUGAAAUAACUAGCAACUAAUGAUAUCAGAGCGAGUAUAGUUCUAACAUCUACACCAAAGUAAAGAAGUAAAGCUAGACAAUAAAAGGAGUCAUAAGUAGUACAAUAUCUGUCUCAAAAGUACAAAAGUGGUGGUCUCUAGUACACUGGUAAAACUCUCAACCUCUCGCAAAAGAAAUAUAAAUCGAGAGGUAGACCACCUAGCAACUCGUCCUCGAAGGAAGCUAGCUCGAAGCAACUCCCUUCCCGCGAUCCCUGGCCUCACCCUGCGUGGAAGGCUCUGAAAAACAUCGAGAAAAAGAGGGCGUGAGAACUAUAAUUUAUAGUUCCCAGUGGGCAAUUACUGACCUCAGCUCUAUGCACCACUAGGCCCCAAAAGAAAAGGGUAAGUACAAUAAUAAUAGCAAUAAUGACUGCGAUAUAAAGGCAUAAUUAAAAUGCUAAAUUACUAAACUCAAGUAUAAACGAUGUCAUGGUGAUGUACAUCUACGAUAUCAAAAUAGUAAGUCAUUAACCUUUAUGAAUACAUUAUGCAUAAGUUCUGUCAUGGCAACCAAGUAUGCUUUAAUGCAAAAGGAGACUAUCAAGUAUACUACAUGUCUCAACACUAUGCUAAAAGCAUAUAAAUGUAAUUCAACUACUAAACCUAUCUAGUAGUGAUUAACCAUUCUCAACACCGUGUCGAUUUCCAUUUCCAAUUAAGGACCUACCAAAGGUAGUCCAGCUUGUGCCGCCUAAGUGCCUGUGGUAGCCCAACAUCCCUACUCUUGGAAUGUGUCUGUCCCACUCGACCCCGUAGGCUUCUCAAUACCGCACGAGCGAACAUAAGUCGCGUAGGCUAACUCCGGAGUGCCGGCUUGUAGGGAGCGACCCUCACAAGCAUGUGCGAAUGAGCACAAAUGGCAAGCAAGCAUAGUCCAAGUCUCAAGUAUCCAACCCUCAUGUCUCUAACAUGGUAUAGUCACUAGCAUCUCGAAGAUCUAGUUCUAAGUCACAAAUGAAGUUCCAACAUUCUCUAGGUCUAGUGCCCCUUUAUGACACUUAGACAUUUAAUGUUUAAGCAUGUUCCACAUUCCUCAAUGGCCCUAUCCACUAGGUUCACACAUGUCCCGAGCUCAAUGCCGCUUGAUGACAUUAGCUCUCUAGUUCACAUACCUUCUAAAGGGCAAUCUUGUCAACUUUCAUGUCUCAAUAAACUUAGGUUUAAAUGCAUGAAUCCAAUCUCAUUUACACUAUAGGAGCAUGAAACCACGUCUCACAUAGAAUGCUAAAUGCAACUAUAGGCCUACCAAGCUACUCUCUACUACAUAGAGGUCCAAAAUUUCAUCAUAUAUAACAUAGGCCUUUUAAGCAUUCUAAAAUUCACAAUAAAUACAUAUAACAAGAAUAUGCAUGCUUUUUCAUUUAACGAUACUUAAUUAAGCACAAAUGAGAAUUUCUCAUGGUGUGGCUAGGUCAAACCCACCGAACCGUCGCGUGCUCCUUCGAUUCGCCGAACGGAGUUGUCCACGAGUCUCAAAGUACCCUAAAAGUGAUCAGCGAAGAGAUACGAGGGCAUUACGACCAACCAUAAGAUCAAACAUUAACCUAGAAGCAAAAAGGGCCAAAACUCACCUCAAGAGAAGAAAUCUCUUCCAAAGCUCCAAAAGAGAGCUAGAACCCUUCCAAUCCAAGUCCAAGGAAGGUUCUAAACCAAUUAAUCUAGCCUCAAAAGUCCUAGAUCAAAAAGCCCCAAAAUAAGCCCUAAAUCUCCAUUCUAGGGUUCCAUCUACAAAAACUUUCAAAACAAGAUCUAGAGGAGGGAAAUGAGCAACAAACCUCCUUAGAAGCUCCAAUCCUAGCUCCAAGGGUGAAGAUCUCCUCCUAUGCAAGCUCCAAGUCCAAGCCUUCAAGCACCAACAAGGUGGGAAGAGGAAGAAAGGCAAAAGAAUGCUCCAAGCCCAAGCUAGAUCCUCCUCUUCUUCUCCUCCUUCCUCUCCUUCUCCUUCUUCUUCUCUAUCCAGGGUGUAGAGAGGGUUGGGAGAAGAGAAAUGGGAAGAGGAGAGAGUGGAUGGGUCAUAUAGACCCUCUAAUGUAACAAAAUCCCAAGAGGCCCCUAAAAAAAAAUAGUAUUACAUCAGCCCGGUCUGGGCAGUUUUCGUCCAGAGGGACCGGUCUCUCCCCAGCAGGGACCGGUCUCUCGCUGCGAACCCGAAAAACCAACGUUCGGGAACCGGUCUCUCCCUGCGCGGGACCGGUUGCCUUGCCGCCUGCGCACACUGUUCACUAGGGGGACCGGUCUCUCAUAUCAGGGACCGGUCCCCGAGAGUAAAAACUCUUAGGACUCAUCCAGAACUCAGGUUUUCGAACUUUUUAGGUCGGAAAAGCAUUCUACAACCCUCCACCAAGUGUGGAAAAGCUCGAAACACAUCCAAUCACUCGAACCUCGCAAUUUGCAAAGGUCCAGUGUGUUACAACCUAGGUGAGGUAAAGAACCAAAAUGACAUAAUGACAUACGAAUUUGGUGGCAUUAGUAAAUGUCAAGCAUGCAAAUGAACACUAGAGUGUGUGGCAUUAGCAAAUGACAAGAAUGCUAGAGUUGAACACUUCGAGAACAAGUGUGUCAUUAGUGAAUGAGUACAAAGAACAAGUUAGUGUAUAUGACACUAGUAUAAGUUAAAGAAUGCAAGUAGAGAACAAUAGUGACAUUGUGACAUAGAAACCUUAAAGAUAAGGGUCACAUGAGCAUUGGAAUCCUUAAAGCUAAGGAAUGAUCAUACUCACCUAUAGUCUUGGCUUGAGGGAAGUCGCUCCCCCUCGAGCGGUGUGCUCCGGAGUUGUCACCACUGGGAAGGAGAAUCCCAAGAGGACGGUCCCAACGGGAGGAAGCAGAGGGCCCGAAAAUUGGGAUUUUGAGUUAGUGAGUUAUGGAACCCUACGGGAUGAAACUGAAUGCCCAACGGGCUGAGGGCCCAACGGGUUAGCCACAAGAUUGUGUAAAGAAAAUGUGAUCUUGCAUUCAUCAUGAGCAUCUCAUUGAGCGUAAGAUUGAGUAUAUUUGUUCAGGCAUAUUAGCUGCAUUUGUUAGUUGGUUACUAUCUAUUCUUUCUUCUAUUAUGCCUGAUUUAGACCUAGUGGGAAAGUCGGCGAGAUCGGGGCGGAACCCACUGGGAAUUUCGUUGUAGUUCUCACCCCACUAUUUCCACAGAGCUGGGACCGAGCGAGCUGGCGGAUGAUCGCGGUAAAGGUAUCGCGCCAUAGUUAGAGACCACCCGAGUUGGUUUCACAUUUUGGUUUAGUUGCAUACCCUUUAGUUAUCAUCUUUUGUAUUUUGAUGAUUUUAGUAUUAUGAACAUGUUAAAUGAAUGAUGUAAAAAGGGUUUAUAUUUCAAUACAAAGGUUAUAUUUUGAGAUAUCAUGUGAUGUAAAAGAGAAAAAAUGAUGGUAAAGAAAAGAAUGCAAAUGUACAAGUUGUAUGCAUGUAUGUGAUUUAAAUUUAAUCAUAGUACUUAUAUGUUGAUUAGUUAGCACUUUCACUUUGGCUAUUUCUUGUCCUCGUGCAAGCCAUUAUGUUUACUUCUGCAUGUGCAAAUUUUAUACUCUAUUUGUACUGUUGUUGAGCCUUGGGCGGACAGGGGAGGCUCUGUCCGCUCGGCAUCAGUUCGACGGGUCCGAACCGGCCAAAUAGGACCGGGUUCGGGGCGUGACAGCUAAAAUAUUAGUCUUGUUCCUUACAAAAAAUUCUAGAUCUUCUGUUUUCAUUCUAAUUUCAGCACAAGUUGUUUCUGACUUAUAUUUUACUUCUUUAAGUCCAAUAAAAAUAGUAUCUCAUACUAUUUUUAUUUACACUUACUUUUAUAUUAAAAUUCGGUACAUUACAUCAUGUAUUAUGUAAAGUGAAAAAAAUGUAUGUAAAAUGUGAAUGUCCAAUGUUGUAAUAAUUAGGUUUAAAUUCUUAGUCUUGUGAUAUGCCCUCGCACAAAGUUGUAUUAUGUUGUUUUUCUCUGGGUGAAAUUCAAUGUACUCGUUUUGUUUACGCCUUGGGCGGAUAGAAAAAACUCUGUCUAUUCGGUAGUCUACGUAUGUGCCUAAACCAACCAAUGUGGCGGUGCUGGGGCAUGACAAUUUGUCAGAUCCACACCUCGGUCUAAAAAGUCCCUAACCCGAGCCCAAACUUGGAGAAACCAGCAGUUCGGGCUCCCUAUGGUCCUGUGCAAUCCAAAUAAGGCCCACACUAACCACAAUAGGUGGGCCCUGACUAGAAGGGACGCCUCCGGUGCGGUGGCCAGCGAUGAGAAGACGACGGCGGCCCGGAUCCAUAGGACCCACUUGAGAGCUUGUUUGGGUUGGGCUCUAAUAGGGAGUCUUGCUCAAGGGCGGCCUAAGCCAGCCGGGACGGUGGCAGGGAGGGCUGCUCGAGCACCCUCGAGCCGGUGGCGCGACGGCGACGGUAGUGCUACAUCCCGAGAGAGAGAGAGAGAGAGAAAGAGAGAGAAUGGUAUAGAAAAAGAGAAGAAUAUAUUGAAAGAGAGAGAGGGUGUCACGCCCCGCAACUGCCGAUUUGGUGGGUUCGGGCACGUCGAACAGACGCCGAACGGACAGGACCUCCCCUGUCCGCCCAAGGCUAAUAACAGAGUCAUGUACAUCAAGUUGCCCAGGUAAACUCAAACAAUAUACAUGAAGCACACAAGUGCUAAACAAGAGAGAGCAAGAAUCACAAGUAGAUAUACAAGUGAACAGAAGAGAAAUAUCUAGCUAUUACAUUUUCAUACAACAUGUACAUAAUACAUUCACAUCUCCAAAAUGUGUAUACAAGUUCAACAUCUAUAAAAACGAGUAGCUCUCCAAUAUAUACAUAUCAACACCUCUAUACACAUGGAAUACUCUAAUGCAGAAAGGAAGCCACUAGCUACUAGGGCGCUAUGCCCUUACCUCGAUCCUCGCCCGGUCCGCUCGAACUCGGCCCUGCAACAAAGUGGGGUGAGAACUAUAUAAAUAUAGUUCCCAGUGGGUUCGGCCGCCGACUCUGCCAAUCUUCCCACUAGGUCUAAACAGGCAUAAGCAAAUAGAUAGAUAGAUAGAUAGAAAUGAACUACUACAUUCUACUAUGCCUUCAAAUGCGAAACAAUGCAUGAAGUGUCCAACUAGCAACAAACCUACAAUCAUGCUAGUAUGCUCCAACGGUGUCAUGGAUAUGAAAACAACAUAGUUAUGCAAUCUACUAACAUACACUAUGUCUACUCAUGAUGUGAAUGCAAAUCUACUAUACUAUUCAUGUUCAUUACUCAAUCAACUUGGCUAAUCCAAAAGUUCGCCCCGACUCACUCUUUCAAUCUUAUAGGUGAGGAAAAACUGCACUCACACACCGAGACCGUCUGCGGGACAACUACGUCUGCCCCUAUCGUGAAGUACUCCGGAGACCACUACUUGGGUGGAGCGACCACGCCAAAUGUAAACAGACUAGUGAGUAUGAUCCAAUCCUCACAACUCGAGGAUACCCUAUCUACAAGGGGUCAUAGUGCUUCUACCGCACUGAUUCCAAAUGCACAAUACAACAAUCGGGAACUCUACUAUCCCUAGAAUCAUGUCAUAAUGUGUCACUACACUAGAUUUGAUGCCACUCGUUCAAAUCAUUUAUUGUAAGUGUUCUAACUUGUUUACAUGCCACUCGUUCAUGUUAUAGUGCCUCUACUACACUAAUUCUAUGUCAACUAUAGUCUCAAGUUCAAGUUGUCACUUAUCUUGUCACUAUAGGAUUUCGGGUCACCAAAUCUAAUCCUCAUGCACCCUAGGUUCUGGUGUCAAGCUCACAAUGCUACACUACUAAGGAACAUGCAAAGAGAUAGAAAUGCAACUAUACAACAUCCUAUAAUGCAUAAGUACAACAUAUAAAAUACGAUCGACAAUAUGACUUAGACAUAAAAGGAAGCCCAACUGCUUCGGGAUGACACCCCCCACCUUUUGGUGAUGUCAAGACCCGAGGGUUUGAAUUUCGUGAUUUUAGGAUGUUGUCUCGGCCCUCCAGGCCUAAACGAUGCCGAAAUGUCCUUUCUGCCAAUAUCCUUGCGCAAGCUCGACGGAUCGCCGAACCAUCUUCACCAGCGCGUCAAACUACAUAGCAAAUAGGUACAAAAGAGAUCAAUCCCAGCAUUGGAUCUCUGUUUUACAAAACCUAUUUUAGAACCCUAGGUCGGAAUUAUUUCAAGAAUUCGACGUAUAACUUCGUGAUUCAAGCAAUAACCACUUAGCAUCUAGGGGUUCCAUAAAAACCAUUUCUAGGUAUAAAACAUCAACCCUAGAAAUCUACCAUUAAAGCUCUACGAAGCUUACCUCAAGAACACGCUCCAAUAGUGAGGAAGAGGAUGAAGAAGACAAAGAUUCACUUCAAGCUUCGAUCUCCACCGAUCCCUCCUCUAACUCCAACCCUUUAGAGAGCUUCUAGAGAGAGAAAGAGAAAAACAAAAAAGGGAUUGAGUAAGUGUUCUCUCGCUGAGAACAGAUGAAAGGGAGUUGGGACCCUUUUAUAAGCUGUCACAAUUAUAUAUAAGCCCCUCAAACAACUCCCAAUUGCAACAGACCAAACCUGCAAUUUUCUGCAGUUGGUACCGGUACGCGGGCAAUUUGUCACCGGUUCAACAGCUAUGCACAGGCCAACCCGAGAGCAACUACUCUCGGCCAGCUACGGGGUACCGGUACCACCAUGAUGUUGUACCGGUACAAGAUGCACAGACUGCAGUUUUAGCACUUGUUCGACUUCUGUUUUGCGUCGAGCAAUGCUAAAACUCAGUUAACUCUUUUAGAACUCAACUUUGACCCUUCCAACAUCUUUGGAAUGUCAAAUGGAACAUGUCCAAGUAUUCAUCUUGCCACACUUUGGUCACUUUGGCCAAAAGUGGACUAUUAAUACGAGGAUUCGAUACCUUAAAGAGAGAGAUCAUGCCAACCACUCCUUGCCGGCCGAGGGAUCACUGGCAGCGGGGCAAGGCGGUGCGGCCGUGCAGGGUACGGGGGCGAGGCCCUCGGGUUAGGGUUUCAUUUAUGCCAUCCUUAUAUACAUCUACAUAUUAAUUACAUAUACCUAUAUAACAAUAGAGGAUUUGCACAAAAGUCCCCCCUAACACUUCAGAAUUCUAUACCCAGCCCUUAUCAGCAUGAGACUAUAUUGUAUUAGUCCCACUCUAAACUACCUUGUGUACUUCGAUAUCUGAAAUACUGCAUUUCAGUCCAGAAAGCCUCUCGAUCGCAAAACUCUCUCACGACUUCAUCUCAAUGCCAUGUUAGCACAGGAAAACCCGAAUUCCACAAAAUUUGAGAUGUAAGAUCCUCUCUGAGUCUACUCUCAUGUGGAUCCCUCCACUCGCCAAAACUGUAAAAUUUCUCAUAUAAAAUGAUAGCCUCUUUGCAAGGUGUUCCAUUAUCACACUUUGCAAAAAUUGCAAUUUAGCCCUCCAACCUUAGAGUUUCAUAUUGAAAACUCACCACUGCAUGUAAAAAGCCCAAUGGCACCAUCCUAUUUACGCAAAACAGAGCAAUGGAGAAUUCUGAAAUGCUAAAACAUCGAGUAGAAAAGGGCAAUCUACAAUAAAAGUAGAUUUUCUUGAAAACAUGCAUCGAACAUAGAAUCGGACAUGCCAUCACGUUCAGCGUAGCCGAACCAUCAAAAAUGACCUAUUGGAUUGUUCGAAACAGAGUCCGAUUCACAUCCGAAGCCAACAUCAAGCCGAAGCCUCAAAAUAAAUCACGAGUUACUAUUCAUUUAAGUGAAUAGUAGCAGUCACCACACACUUUUAAUUAAACUCGUUUUUUUUCCCGAAAUUAAACAAAUAAAGUCCAAAAUUAAAAUACUUGUACAACACCAUAGAAGAGCAUCAAGUUACACUUAAAAAUCUCAGUUUUUACAUCCUACUCAUAAAAAUCCACAUCAUGGGAGUCUAUCUCAGUCCCCUAUUAGGAUAUUUGUCAUACAUCAUAUAGCCUUUCAAGCACUCAGAAUAUCUAAUGUAAAUUUGUUUAUUUGCUCUAGAACUUAGCUUCCCAUAUUUAUGAGAAAUAAUAUGCACAUAUCCUAUCCAUCCCGAUGGGCGUAAGCCUUUUAAAUUUGGCUUUGCACCAUGCCACUGCUCAUAGGGAGUUGAAGGAACUGAUUUGGAGGGCACUCGGUUAAGUGUAUAGGCAACGAUUAACAAUGCAUCACACUAAAAAUUAAUUAAAAUAUUGGCUUGCACCAUCAUUGACCUAACUAUAUCUAAAAGUGUUCUAUUCCUUCUCUCUACAACACUAUUUUGUUGCAGAGUCCAAGAAAUAGUCAACUGCGUAUCCCCUUUUCCUCGCACAGUUUUGUGAAUUGGUCUGAUAAAUACUCUCAUUCUCUAUCAGUAUGUAGAACUUUAAGGUUUUUCUAUUUGAUUCUCAACCUCUACUAAGAAGCGUUUGAAAUAAUCCAAGACUUCUGAAUAGUGAGACAACAGAUAACUAAAUUGUAGCGAAAGUAAUGAUCAAGAAAAGUUAAAAAAUAGGAUGCACCAUGACGUGCUCUUACAUUCAUAGGUCGGCAUAUGUCAGAAUGAAUUAGCUCCAAUGAAUGAGUUGCCCUAAGUGCCCUACCAAAAGGUUUUCUACUGCCUUUCAUUCUAAACAUGGUUCACAAGCAGGUAGACUAAGUUUAGUGAGUAACACCAACAUGCCUUCUCUAACUAGUCUAGUCAUUCUUUUUGUCAAAUGUGGUCCAAUUUUGCAUGCCACUUGAUAAAAUCAUACAUAUAUCAAAAAAGACUAAUAAAACAGAAUUAUUAUUAUUAUUAAUUAGAAAUAAAAUCUAGGGUUAAUUGCAUAUAGGUCCCCGCAAACAUGGUCAAUUGCAGAUAUAUUCCUACAAAGUUUCAACUUUCAUAAGUUAUCCCUGCAAAAGUCCUAAUGUAUUCAGAUAUGUCACUCUGGUUAGCACCCGUUAGAGAACUAUUUAUUUUUUAACAGUGGGUUCGUGAAAUGACAUUUUUGCCCUCACAAAUAUGUCCCUCCAAAAGCUCCAGCUGGUAUAUGUUUGCAAAAAUUGUAACGACCCGACCCACUAGCAAUAAUAACUCGUUGGGCCAAAACCACCGGCCCAAGAUGCUUAAGUCCAGUUAUUAUGGCUAGCCCAAUCAAGCUUAUAUACUCCCAUAUCUAGAAAUAACUAUUCGAUGUGGGACUAUUGGGGUGUCAUAGACUUCCCUCGUUUAGGCCCUGACGUUCUCGUCAGCCCUAAACACACACAGCCCAAGAUCACCAGGUGAUGUGAGACUUGUCUCGCUAGCCUUUUGUCACGCCCCGGGACCGGUGAAGGCCCUCCUGGUAGCGCGCCCAGACCCGCCAUAUGUCUACACAUAUAAGGCGUCUACAAUAAAAGCGGAAGUAAAAGCAAGAAAUACAACAACUAGGAAUGAAUAACAACUAAUGAUAUCAGAGCGAGUAAAGUUCUAUCUUCUAAAACAAGAAUAAAGGAAACAUGCUAAUCCAUAAAAGUAAAGCAUAAGGUGAUACAAUACUAACUCCUCAAAAGAAAUACAAAAAUUCAAAAGGAUGGUGGUCUCUAUACAUAUACGGGUACAACUCUCAACCUGUCACAAAAUAAAACAACGAGAGGUAGACCACCUAUCGAAUCGUCCUCGAAGGAAGCUAGCUCGAAGCAACUCCCUUCCCGCGGUCCCUAGCCUCUCCCGGCGUGGAAGGCUCUGAA